GACGAACGCUGGCGGCGUGCUUAACACAUGCAAGUCGAACGGAAAGGCCCUGCUUUUGUGGGGUGCUCGAGUGGCGAACGGGUGAGGAACACGUGAGUAACCUGCCCUUGACUUUGGGAUAACUUCAGGAAACUGGGGCUAAUACCGGAUAGGAGCUCCUGCUGCAUGGUGGGGGUUGGAAAUUUUCGGCGGUUGGGGAUGGACUCGCGGCUUAUCAGCUGGUUGGUGGGGUAGUGGCUUACCAAGGCUUUGACGGGUAGCCGGCCUGAGAGGGUGACCGGCAACAUUGGGACUGAGAGACGGCCCCGACUCCUACGGGAGGCAGCAGUGGGGAAUAUUGCACAAGGGGCGGAAGCCUGAUGCAGCAACGCCGCGUGCGGGAUGACGGCCUUCGGGUUGUAAACCGCUUUCGCCUGUGACGAAGCGUGAGUGACGGUAAUGGGUAAAGAAGCACCGGCUAACUACGUG
rnacentral:rRNA from 1 species